rnacentral:rRNA from 1 species
UGGGGAAUAUUGGGCAAUGGAGGCAACUCUGACCCAGCAACGCCGCGUGAAGGAAGAAGGUUUUCGGAUUGUAAACUUCUGUAAUCGGGGACGAAUAAAAUGACGGUACCCGAGAAGUAAGCCCCGGCUAACUACGUGCCAGCAGCCGCGGUAAUACGUAGGGGGCAAGCGUUGUCCGGAAUUACUGGGCGUAAAGGGAGCGUAGGCGGCUUUUUAAGUCAGAUGUGAAAUACCCGGGCUUAACCCGGGGGGUGCAUUUGAAACUGGAAGGCUUGAGUAUAGGAGAGGAAAGCGGAAUUCCUAGUGUAGCGGUGAAAUGCGUAGAUAUUAGGAGGAACACCGGUGGCGAAGGCGGCUUUCUGGACUAAAACUGACGCUGAGGCUCGAAAGCGUGGGGAGCAAACA